UACGUAGGGGGCGAGCGUUGUCCGGAAUCAUUGGGCGUAAAGAGCGUGUAGGCGGUCCGGUAAGUCCGCUGUGAAAGUCGGGGGCUCAACCCUCGAAUGCCGGUGGAUACUGUCGGGCUAGAGUGCGGAAGAGGCGAGUGGAACUCCUGGUGUAGCGGUGGAAUGCGCAGAUAUCAGGAAGAACACCGACGGCGAAGGCAGCUCGCUGGGACGGUACUGACGCUGGAGGCGCGAAAGCGUGGGGAGCGAACAGG
rnacentral:rRNA from 1 species